GGGGGCGCCGUUCCCGCGCGCCCGCCCCUUUCCCGCCGCUGCUCCACCUGAGGCGGCGGCGCGCGGGCCGCAGCCUGCGGUUUGCUGAUUGCACCCUGACGGAGGAGAUGCGACAAGAGGCGACACCUGUGGCAGGCCUGGCCUUAGGAGCAGAACCCCAGCAGGACAGACCCAAGAGGAUAUUCCAGGCUGUGGAGGAACAUUCCCAAACCCCAGGAGCAGCAGCAGGUACCUUCUCCACGAUGAAGCGCGCGCGCUCCGCCUCCUGCUGCGCCACCUGCUUCAUCUCCACCGCCUCCGUGAACUCCUUCCCGAACGUCAG